UGUCGCUUGAUUGUAGAUUUUCUUCAUUUUCAGUUGUUUUUUCUUUUUUCUUCUUUUGCUUUCUUCCUGCU
rnacentral:ribozyme from 12 species